rnacentral:rRNA from 1 species
ACGUACACUCCUGCGGGAGGCAGCAGUGGGGAAUAUUGCACAAUGGGCGCAAGCCUGAUGCAGCCAUGCCGCGUGUGUGAAGAAGGCCUUCGGGUUGUAAAGCACUUUCAGCGGGGAGGAAGGCGAUACGGUUAAUAACCGUGUUGAUUGACGUUACCCGCAGAAGAAGCACCGGCUAACCCCGUGCCAGCAGCCGCGGUAAUACGGAGGGUGCAAGCGUUAAUCGGAAUUACUGGGCGUAAAGCGCACGCAGGCGGUCUGUCAAGUCGGAUGUGAAAUCCCCGGGCUCAACCUGGGAACUGCAUUCGAAACUGGCAGGCUUGAGUCUUGUAGAGGGGGGUAGAAUUCCAGGUGUAGCGGUGAAAUGCGUAGAGAUCUGGAGGAAUACCGGUGGCGAAGGCGGCCCCCUGGACAAAGACUGACGCUCAGGUGCGAAAGCGUGGGGAGCAAACAGGAUUAGAUACCCCAGUAGUCCCAUGA